ensembl:lncRNA
GUUCGGAUCCCCGCAAAAACGUUAACAGGGGUACUACUGUCGUUUUUUAUUGGUCAACAUGGAAAAAACAUGAGGGGCAACUGUCGUUUUUUAUCGGCCGUCAUGAAAUAAACAUAAGGGGUAACACUGUCGAUAUUUAUCAAAUAAAACAUAGGGGGUAACACUGUUGUUUUUAUUGGUCGUCAUGAAAAAAAAAUAUGGGGGGUAACACAGUUGUUUUUUAUUGGUCGUCAUGAAAAAAAACUUAGGGGGUAACACUGUUGUUUUUGUCAAAUAAAAUAUAAGGGGUAACACUGUUGUUUUUUAUUGGUCGUCAUGAAAAAAAAUAUGGGGGGGUAACACUGUUGUUUUUGUCAAAUAAAAUAUAAGGGGUAACACUGUUGUUUUUUAUUGGUCAUCAUGAAAAAAAACAUAAGGGGUAACACUGUUGUUUUUUAAUGGUCGUCAUGAAAAAAAACAUAAGGGGUAACACUGUUGUUUUUUAUUGGUCGUCAUGAAAAAAACCAUAAGGGGUAACACUGUUGUUUUUGUCAAAUAAAAUAUAAGGGGUAACACUGUUGUUUUUUAUUGGUCGUCAUGAAAAAAAACAUAAGGGGUAACACUGUUGUUUUUUAUUGGUCGUCAUGAAAAAAAAUAUGGGGCGUAACACUGUUGUUUUUGUCAAAUAAAAUAUAAGGGGUAACACUGUUGUUUUUUAUUGGUCGUCAUGAAAAAAACCAUAAGGGGUAACACUGUUGUUUUU